rnacentral:lncRNA from 1 species
GAGAAACCACUUGUUGUUGAGCAAUAAGCGAAUAUACACGACUGAUGCUGGGAAGCGGUUUAAGGAACAAGAUUUGUGUGUGAAUGUUAUGAUAGUUAUGGUUUAAACCCUUCAAAAAACAUGAAACAUACUUCAUAUGCUUAUAAUUGCGAACUGCUCUAGAUAAAUCACAUGUGCAGGGUGUAGGACAUGAACAUUAA